rnacentral:tRNA from 1 species
CAGUAUAUAUUUUAAUAAAAAUAUUAAUUUUGGAGAUUAAUGAUAAUAGAAGUUUAUCUAUUUAUACUGA